rnacentral:lncRNA from 12 species
CAGUGAUUUAGAGAUCUCUUUUCCCUAGGGGGAAAAAAAGAACCAGUGUGUCAUUAAGUAGAGGUUGUGGAAGAAGUAAGCCACUCAAUAAGAUGUGAUUUUCUCCCCAGUUCAACAAUUACAGGCUCUUCCCAUAAAAGCUGCCAUAUUCCCUCUGCCUCUAGCACAAUUCAGAUAUCCUGAGAAAAAGGCCUUCUCAUAAUCUUUUUUCUAUAUUUUCUUCAGCAGGCACUUGAAAUCAUUUUAUGAACAUCAGUUUGUUCUGUAUUGUGCUUUGCCAAGAUUAUUAUCCUUAAGGAACUGGAGAUGAAACCGCAGAGCAGGGAGCUCCUGGAGCCACUGCACAAGGAUCCUGCACAAACGCACUCGUCCCUGGCGUAUUCCUUCCAGGAGAGGGCAGGGGAACACAGUUUAUCUCAGAUCCACUCCUGAGCUGGAGCCAGCGUCCAUCCAACCCCAAAUCUUCCUCAACAUCUUCC